CGUGCGGCGGCGGCAGAGGAGCCAGUGCAGCUGCCAGCAGCACAUCUCCGCGCCACAGUCGCCGCAGUCGCCACAGCCACCAAAGCCGCCGCAGCCGCCGCCGCCGCCCCGCGCGCCCAACCGCCGCGGCCCCUCGCCCCGCCGGCCUGCCAGUGAGCGAGCGGCGAGCGGCCUCCCGCUCGGCCCCCUGAGGCGGGCGCCCGGCCGGACCCUGAGCCUCGUCCUCUCGCGCUGCGGCCGCCCGCGCCUCCUCGGCCGCCUGUCGGGCAUGAAAACCAAGUUCUGCACCGGGGGCGAGGCGCAGCCCUCGCCGCUCGGGCUGCUGCUGAGCUGCGGUAGCGGCAGCGCGGCCCCGGCGCCCGGCGUGGGGCAGCAGCGCGACGCCGCCAGCGACCUCGAGUCCAAGCAGCUGGGCGGCCAACAGCCGCCGCUCGCGCUGCCCCCCCCGCCGCCGCUGCCGCUGCCCCAGCCCCCGCCGCCGCAGCCGCCGGCAGACGAGCAGCCCGAGCCCCGGACGCGGCGCAGGGCCUAUCUGUGGUGCAAGGAGUUCCUGCCCGGCGCCUGGCGGGGCCUCCGCGAGGACGAGUUCCACAUCAGUGUCAUCAGAGGCGGCCUUAGCAACAUGCUGUUCCAGUGCUCCCUACCUGACACCACAGCCACCCUUGGCGAUGAGCCUCGGAAAGUGCUCCUGCGGCUGUAUGGAGCGAUUUUGCAGAUGAGGUCCUGUAAUAAAGAGGGAUCCGAACAAGCUCAGAAAGAAAAUGAAUUUCAAGGGGCCGAGGCCAUGGUUCUGGAGAGCGUUAUGUUUGCCAUUCUCGCAGAGAGGUCACUUGGGCCAAAACUCUAUGGCAUCUUUCCCCAAGGCCGACUGGAGCAGUUCAUCCCGAGCCGGCGAUUAGAUACUGAAGAAUUAAGUUUGCCAGAUAUUUCUGCAGAAAUCGCUGAGAAAAUGGCUACGUUUCAUGGUAUGAAAAUGCCAUUCAAUAAGGAACCAAAAUGGCUUUUUGGCACAAUGGAAAAGUAUCUAAAGGAAGUGCUGAGAAUUAAAUUUACUGAGGAAUCCAGAAUUAAAAAGCUCCACAAAUUGCUCAGUUACAAUCUGCCCUUGGAACUGGAAAACCUGAGAUCAUUGCUUGAAUCUACUCCGUCUCCAGUUGUAUUUUGUCAUAAUGACUGUCAAGAAGGUAAUAUCUUGUUGCUGGAAGGCCGAGAGAAUUCUGAAAAACAGAAACUGAUGCUCAUUGAUUUUGAAUACAGCAGUUACAAUUACAGGGGAUUCGACAUUGGAAAUCACUUCUGUGAGUGGAUAUAUGAUUAUAGCUAUGAAAAAUACCCUUUUUUCAGAGCAAACAUCCGGAAGUAUCCCACCAAGAAACAACAGCUCCAUUUUAUUUCCAGUUACUUGCCUGCAUUCCAAAAUGACUUUGAAAACCUCAGUACUGAAGAAAAAUCCAUUAUAGAAGAAGAAAUGUUGCUUGAAGUCAAUAGGUUUGCCCUUGCAUCUCAUUUCCUCUGGGGACUUUGGUCCAUUGUACAAGCCAAGAUUUCAUCUAUUGAAUUUGGGUACAUGUACCCGAAUGUGGUGACCUGGUGGCAUCAGGACAGUGUGGCUCAGCCCAGGAAGCCGGGGGAGAAGCCGCUGUCACUGAUGCUGUGGUUGCCUUUGGAGGUUGCCCUCACUUCCAGGCCAGCUGACCUUGCCUCCCCUGCUUCAGAGAAGUGCCUGCAAUCCUGAUGGGGAAUGUAGGCAUCUGCACCCUGGAAGUCCAGCUCUGACCUCAGUCCCUUCUGACACAGGGGACAGUAAGUGAAGAAGAGUCGGUGGCUCCUGCCUGUGCUGUGGAAGGUUUUAUUUCUCGGUUACCACUUCAUUCUCCAGCCUGUAGUGCCUGACUUUGGGUUGGAAGCUGGAUUACGCCCAGGCAAGGUUUGAUGCCUAUUUCCACCAGAAGAGGAAGCUUGGGGUGUGACUGUGGGGAGGACUCCAUCCACCUCAUCACUGGACUGCAUGGGGAGGCAGCAGAGCGGGGUCCCCUCUGUGCUUCGACUACUGCUCCUGUGGCAGGAGGCUUUGGGUGGCUCACUACUGAACACAGAUGUGUAUGAUACUAAAGACUGUAUUAAAAUGGAGUGACGUUUAUUUCAUAUCUUGUUUACGAUUUCACUAGGACUCAGAAACGAGAUUGGGAAGCAGAAAUAUAGUGCAAUAGUGCAACAUCUCUGAAUCCUUUUAAUCUAGAGAAGGCGUUUCAUAUUUGGGGGCUAAGGUUUCCAGUCAGAUAGGGCAAACAGCAAGAGUAAGCAGUGUUACUUGCAGGUACUUUGGUUAAUGUUGAUUUAAAACUUUUUUUUCAUGAAUGUGCUGGUGAACACUGUGACCAGGCUUUUGUAGAUGGCGAUGUGUUAUAGACGGUGCUCACUCCCAGGGGACAGCAAGUGAGCAGAGAUGUACUGCGAAGUCGCCAGUCACGGCCUCUGCCUGGGGCCCCCGGAAGCUGCUCCUCUACCCCUUGGUCCCAUGGCUGAAGCUGGAGCAGCGGAUUGCUCUGGAGCGGCCAAGGCCGUCUGCAUGUGGAGCAGAGCUCUCCCCUCCUGCUGGGCGUGUGUGACACUGAUGAGUUUCACUGUACUGCAUGUGACUUCUCCCCUGCCCUUCCUCCUGAUGGAGUGUGCAGACAGCCAUGCGUGGCCACAGGGGCAGUGUGAGGACCUCCCUGUCUCCCGGCUCCUCUCCCAGGGGAGCCAGCUGUUUGACCUAGCUCUUUGGGCCUCUCCUGCCCUCUGCUCUGCCUGGAGUGUGGGAUCCUGUGAGUGGGCUGGGCCGCCCCUGGGCAAGGUGAGGGAAACCCUGGCCUGGGCUCUCCAAGGGCCCGGUUUCCCGGCCCUUACCUUUCCCGAUGUCCCUGACAUCAUCAUUUUGUGGGAGACGGCAGCCUGUAUGUUGUACAGGGUGUGGAUCGAGUGUAGCUGUGAAAUCCAUAUAUAUGAAAUGUCCCGCGGGAUACAGUCUUCGCUGACUUUUUUUUACUCUGAAUCUUAUUUGAAUUGUUUUUUGUGCAUAUAUUUCUGCUACCACAGAGAUUGUACUAUACAAAUAAAAAAAUAAAAACCCAA